GACAGAGGGUGCAAACGUUGUUCGGAAUUACUGGGCGUAAAGCGUGUGUAGGCGGCUUUGCAAGUCGGAUGUGAAAGCCCCGGGCUCAACCCGGGAAGUGCACUCGAUACUGCAGAGCUUGAGUAUCGGAGAGGUUGGUGGAAUUCUCGGUGUAGAGGUGAAAUUCGUAGAUAUCGAGAGGAACACCGGUGGCGAAGGCGGGUCUCUGGGCCGUAACUGACGCUGAGGAGCGAAAGCGUGGGGAGCGAACAGG
rnacentral:rRNA from 1 species